GUGAGGAAUUUUCCGCAAUGGGCGAAAGCCUGACGGAGCAAUGCCGCGUGAAGGAUGAAGGCCUAUGGGUUGUAAACUUCUUUUCUCAGAAAAGAAUUAUGACGGUAUCUGAGGAAUAAGCAUCGGCUAACUCUGUGCCAGCAGCCGCGGUAAGACAGAGGAUGCAAGCGUUAUCCGGAAUGAUUGGGCGUAAAGCGUCUGUAGGUUGUUUAAAAAGUAUUCUGUCAAAGAUUAGGGCUUAACCCUAGAUAGGCAGAAUAAACUUUUAAGCUAGAGUGUGGUAGAGGCAGAGGGAAUUCCCGGUGGAGCGGUGAAAUGCGUAGAUAUCGGGAGGAACACCAAAGGCGAAGGCACUCUGCUGGGCCAAUACUAACACUGAGAGACGAAAGCGAGGGGAGCAAAUGGGAUUAGAUACCCGGGUAGUCC
rnacentral:rRNA from 1 species